rnacentral:rRNA from 1 species
AUCAACUUUCGAUGGUAGGAUAGAGGCCUACCAUGGUGGUAACGGGUAACGGGGUGUUAGGGCACGACACCGGAGAGGGAGCCUGAGAAACGGCUACCACAUCCAAGGAUGGCAGCAGGCGCGCAAAUUACCCAAUCCCGACACGGGGAGGUAGUGACAAUAAAUAACAAUACGGGGUUCUUUAGGAUCUCGUAAUUGGAAUGAGUACAAUUUAAAUCUCUUAACGAGGAACAAUUGGAGGGCAAGUCUGGUGCCAGCAGCCGCGGUAAUUCCAGCUCCAAUAGCGUAUAUUAAAGUUGUUGCAGUUAAAAAGCUCGUAGUUGAAUUUCGGGAUUGGCGCAUCGGUCGUGCCUUACGGGGUAUGAACUGGUGCAGUCAAUUUCUCACCUUCUGGAGAACCGCGAUGUCCUUAAUUGGGUGCCGCGGGGAACCAGGACCUUUACUUUGAAAAAAUUAGAGUGUUUAAAGCAGGCAUUUUUGCUUGAAUACAUUAGCAUGGAAUAAUAAAAUAGGACGGCAUGGUUCUAUUUUGUUGGUUUCUAGGACCACCGUAAUGAUUAAUAGGGAUAGUUGGGGGCAUUAGUAUUCAAUUGUCAGAGGUGAAAUUCUUGGAUUUAUUGAAGACUAACUACUGCGAAAGCAUUUGCCAAGGAUGUUUUCAUUAAUCAAGAACGAAAGUUAGGGGAUCGAAGACGAUCAGAUACCGUCGUAGUCUUAACCAUAAACUAUGCCGACUAGGGAUCGGAUGAUGUUAAUUUUUUAAUGACUCAUUCGGCGCCUUACGGGAAACCAAAGUGUUUGGGUUC